GACGAACGCUGGCGGCGUGCUUAACACAUGCAAGUCGAACGAUGAACCCUAGCUUGCUAGGUGGAUUAGUGGCGAACGGGUGAGUAACACGUGAGUAACCUACCCUUAACUCUGGGAUAAGCCUGGGAAACUGGGUCUAAUACCGGAUACGACCAAUCUCCGCAUGGGGUGUUGGUGGAAAGCGUUAUGUAGUGGUUAUAGAUGGGCUCACGGCCUAUCAGCUUGUUGGUGAGGUAACGGCUCACCAAGGCGACGACGGGUAGCCGGCCUGAGAGGGUGACCGGCCACACUGGGACUGAGACACGGCCCAGACUCCUACGGGAGGCAGCAGUGGGGAAUAUUGCACAAUGGGCGCAAGCCUGAUGCAGCGACGCCGCGUGAGGGAUGACGGCCUUCGGGUUGUAAACCUCUGUUAGCAGGGAAGAAGAGAGAUUGACGGUACCUGCAGAGAAAGCGCCGGCUAACUACGUGCCAGCAGCCGCGGUAAUACGUAGGGCGCGAGCGUUGUCCGGAAUUAUUGGGCGUAAAGAGCUUGUAGGCGGUUUGUCGCGUCUGCUGUGAAAGGCCGGGGCUUAACCCCGUGUAUUGCAGUGGGUACGGGCAGACUAGAGUGCAGUAGGGGAGACCUGGAAUUCCUGGUGUAGCGGUGGAAUGCGCAGAUAUCAGGAAGAACACCGAUGGCGAAGGCAGGUCUCUGGGCUGUAACUGACGCUGAGAAGCGAAAGCAUGGGGAGCGAACAGGAUUAGAUACCCUGGUAGUCCAUGCCGUAAACGUUGGGCACUAGGUGUGGGGGACAUUCCACGUUUUCCGCGCCGUAGCUAACGCAUUAAGUGCCCCGCCUGGGGAGUACGGCCGCAAGGCUAAAACUCAAAGAAAUUGACGGGGGCCCGCACAAGCGGCGGAGCAUGCGGAUUAAUUCGAUGCAACGCGAAGAACCUUACCAAGGCUUGACAUAUACUGGACCGCAUCAGAGAUGGUGUUUCCCUUCGGGGCUGGUAUACAGGUGGUGCAUGGUUGUCGUCAGCUCGUGUCGUGAGAUGUUGGGUUAAGUCCCGCAACGAGCGCAACCCUCGUUCUAUGUUGCCAGCACGUUAUGGUGGGGACUCAUAGGAGACUGCCGGGGUCAACUCGGAGGAAGGUGGGGAUGACGUCAAAUCAUCAUGCCCCUUAUGUCUUGGGCUUCACGCAUGCUACAAUGGCCGGUACAGAGGGUUGCGAUACUGUGAGGUGGAGCUAAUCCCUAAAAGCCGGUCUCAGUUCGGAUUGGGGUCUGCAACUCGACCCCAUGAAGUCGGAGUCGCUAGUAAUCGCAGAUCAGCAACGCUGCGGUGAAUACGUUCCCGGGCCUUGUACACACCG
rnacentral:rRNA from 1 species